rnacentral:lncRNA from 1 species
UGUCACUGGGAACCCCUGAAAAGAGUCCGGCUCCAUCCUCCUUCAACCCACCCUUUAGACACUUGGAAGCAUGAAGAAGGUCUCCCCUCAGCCUUCUCUUCUCCAGGCUCAAGAGCCCCAGCUCUCUCAGCCUUUCCUCAGCAGGGAGAUGCUCCAAUCCCUCCAGCAUCUCUGGUGCCCUACGCUGGACUCUCUCCAGCAGUUNCUUGGAAGCAUGAAGAAGGUCUCCCCUCAGCCUUCUCUUCUCCAGGCUCAAGAGCCCCAGCUCUCUCAGCCUUUCCUCAGCAGGGAGAUGCUCCAAUCCCUCCAGCAUCUCUGGUGCCCUACGCUGGACUCUCUCCAGCAGUUCCCUGUCUCUCUGGAACUGGGGAGCCCAGAACUGGAGGCAGGAUUCCAGUUGUGGCUUCCCCAGUGCAGAGCAGAGGGGGAGAAUGACCUCCCUUUGUCUGUCCCGUACCCUUCUUCCCGUGCCCCAGGGGAGCGAGCGGUGGGAGAUGCUGCCUUUGGACCAGUCCCCCCCCCCCGAGAUGCCUUUGGCAGGGCCGUUGCCGUGCGGAUACGGGAACAAAAGCCCUGGGGGCUGGCACGGCUCCAUCCUGCAGCGCGGGGAAGCGAGAUAACCGCCUGCUGCCGCAGCCCUCGCCGUGACAUUGAUGCAUGUCCUGGCCGGCAGAGCGGCGGGGAAGCCGGGCUGCUCCUCCAUGACUCUGCCUCCGCGCGUGCCUGGCUCUGCCUGCCUGCCUGCCUGUCUGUCUGUCUGUCGGCCUCGUGGCAUCCUGGCACAGCACAGCCCUGCGGCGAGGCUGGGGGUUGCCGGGGGAGUCCUGCAGUGGCCUUGUGGGCACGGGCACAGGGCAGGGCCUCGGCGCUGACUCAGCCACGGCGUUUUUAGGUUCCCCAGGAAUAGCUCUCAGCUGCUCUGACCUUUCCUGAACAGAGCAUGAAGGAGCUUUGGACGGACGGACGGACGGAUGGAUGGACUAUCCCUGGGUGCCUGCUCUGCUCAAA